rnacentral:rRNA from 1 species
UUCGGUGAGAUAAAGCCACCUUCGUAUCUUCUUACUUUGGUAAGCGUAUAACAGCUUUGUAAGCGUUCGGCUUUAGUGUUUAUUAUUCCUUAACCACGCUGUACGCCGGAGCUUGUCAACUUGGGCUUCUCGUAUAACCGCGGUAGCUGGCACGAGUUUUACCAGCCCUUUUAACCAUAACUAAGUCAAGUUUGCACUUAUUGGCUUAAUGUCUGUCACUGCUGAGUUCCCUGGGGGGUGUGGCUGAGCAAGGUGUUGUGGGCUAUAAGGGCAUGUGCCUGAUACCAGCUCCUUGUUCCCGGACGGGGAACUGUGGGGCAUUCUCACGCGGGUGCGGAUACUCGCAUGUGUAAAUCUGGUUAAAGCUGACAGGAAAGUCAGGACCAAGCCUUUG